rnacentral:rRNA from 1 species
UACAGAGGUCCCAAGCGUUGUUCGGAUUCAUUGGGCGUAAAGGGCGCGUAGGUGGCGGGACAAGCGUGCGGUGAAAGCCUGGGGCUCAACCCCGGGUCGGCCGUGCGAACUGUUUUGCUUGAGCACUGUAGAGGCAGGCGGAAUUCCGGGUGUAGCGGUGGAAUGCGUAGAGAUCCGGAAGAACACCGGUGGCGAAGGCGGCCUGCUGGGCAGUAGCUGACACUGAGGCGCGACAGCGUGGGGAGCAAACAGG